rnacentral:lncRNA from 1 species
CUUGGAAAGAGUGUCAGUUUUUGUCAGACCUAUAAGUGACACUUAAAACAUCAAAUUUGUGAUAAGGAGUCAUGAACUAUGAUUCUCGUAGAUUUCAGUUUCCAUUUUGAUAUUGCUAUUACAGUGAGAAAACAUAUGAAGAUGCUAUUUCAUUGAGAAAUCUACUCAUCCCAUCUUCAAAUACUUCUCACAAGGCCACCAGUAAAUCAAGACCAAUAUAGGUCUUAUUGAACACACAUUCUGAAUAUGGAUGUUUUGGCUGGCAUCACCUUGGUCUCCACGUUGCACAGUUCCUCAUUUGUGCAAUGCGCUAACAUUACCCGGCACUACGGCCAUGAGGAGAAGACAGAAAGUGUGACACUGGACCUGCAGGUGAGAUUUACUCAAUGAAUAUUAUCAUUUUAUUAUAAACAUAGGAGUGAUGUGAUCACAGGCUACGAGACAAUGAGGAAGGUCAGUUUGAUUUUAAGGAAUCCAUUAAAAAUAUUGCGUGGCUGGGAAACCAAAUCAUCUGUCAUGAACAAGUCGCUCUGGUUUGCGAAGUCCAUGUGGGCAUUUGUGUGACUGUGCAAGGUUUGCUCUAGUUCUGGUUCACUGGCCCAGAAUUGGUAUGGAAAAGUGACCUCCCUCUCUUUCUUAUCUGUGCCCUUGAUAAAAUCUAAGUUGUAAUCAUCUACAAGCUGUCUAUCCUGGAGGUUUCUCAAUGUUUUGUUUCCAAAAGCGGGC